GGGUCAGUAGGUUGGUCGUGCCACCGGUACGUACUGGUCUCACUUAUUCCUCCUUCCUGAAUAACCGUAAUGCCAUUAAUUUGGUGUUGCGGGGAAACAGGACUGUUACUUUGAAAAAAUUAGAGUGUUUAAAGCAAGCUAACGCUUGAAUACAUUAGCAUGGAAUAAUGAAAUAGGACGAUCGAUCCUAUUUUGUUGGUUUCUAGGAUUGACGUA
rnacentral:rRNA from 1 species